GAUGAACGCUAGCUACAGGCUUAACACAUGCAAGUCGAGGGGAAACGACAUCGAAAGCUUGCUUUUGAUGGGCGUCGACCGGCGCACGGGUGAGUAACGCGUAUCCAACCUGCCCACCACUUGGGGAUAACCUUGCGAAGUAAGACUAAUACCCAAUGAUAUCCCACGAAGGCAUCGGAAUGGGAUUAAAGAUUUAUCGGUGAUGGAUGGGGAUGCGUCUGAUUAGCUUGUUGGCGGGGUAACGGCCCACCAAGGCAACGAUCAGUAGGGGUUCUGAGAGGAAGGUCCCCCACAUUGGAACUGAGACACGGUCCAAACUCCUACGGGAGGCAGCAGUGAGGAAUAUUGGUCAAUGGGCGAGAGCCUGAACCAGCCAAGUAGCGUGCAGGAUGACGGCCCUAUGGGUUGUAAACUGCUUUUAUAAGGGAAUAAAGUUAGUCUCGUGAGACUUUUUGCAUGUACCUUAUGAAUAAGGACCGGCUAAUUCCGUG
rnacentral:rRNA from 1 species